AAAACGACUCUCGGCAACGGAUAUCUCGGCUCUCGCAUCGAUGAAGAACGUAGCGAAAUGCGAUACUUGGUGUGAAUUGCAGAAUCCCGCGAACCAUCGAGUCUUUGAACGCAAGUUGCGCCCGAAGCCUUUAGGCCGAGGGCACGUCUGCCUGGGCGUCACGC
rnacentral:rRNA from 17 species